GACGAACGCUGGCGGCGUGCCUAAUACAUGCAAGUAGAACGCACAGUUUAUACCGUAGCUUGCUACACCAUACACUGUGAGUUGCGAACGGGUGAGUAACGCGUAGGUAACCUGCCUGGUAGCGGGGGAUAACUAUUGGAAACGAUAGCUAAUACCGCAUAAUAUUAAUUAUUGCAUGAUAAUUGAUUGAAAGAUGCAAUUGCAUCACUACCAGAUGGACCUGCGUUGUAUUAGCUAGUAGGUGAGGUAACGGCUCACCUAGGCGACGAUACAUAGCCGACCUGAGAGGGUGAUCGGCCACUCUGGGACUGAGACACGGCCCAGACUCCUACGGGAGGCAGCAGUAGGGAAUCUUCGGCAAUGGACGAAAGUCUGACCGAGCAACGCCGCGUGAGUGAAGAAGGUUUUCGGAUCGUAAAGCUCUGUUGUAAGAGAAGAACGGGUGUGAGAGUGGAAAGUUCACACUGUGACGGUAUCUUACCAGAAAGAGACGGCUAACUACGUG
rnacentral:rRNA from 1 species